rnacentral:rRNA from 1 species
UGUGUAGGCGGUUCUUUAAGUUUGGUGUGAAAUCUCCCGGCUCAACCGGGAGGGUGCGCCGAAAACUGGGGGACUCGAGUGCGGGAUGGGAGAGUAGAAUUCCUGGUGUAGCGGUGAAAUGCGUAGAUAUCAGGAGGAAUACCGGUGGUGUAGACGGCUCUCUGGACCGCCACUGACGCUGAGACACGAAAGCGUGGGUAGCAAACAGGAUUAGAUACCCUGGUAGUCCACGCCCUAAACGAUGCAUAUUUGGUGUAGGUCAUUCAGUUGAUCUGUGCCGGAGCUAACGCGUUAAAUAUGCCGCCUGGGGAGUACAGUCGCAAGGCUGAA